UAACGCGUUAAAUCGACCGCCUGGGGAGUACGGCCGCAAGGUUAAAACUCAAAUGAAUUGACGGGGGCCCGCACAAGCGGUGGAGCAUGUGGUUUAAUUCGAUGCAACGCGAAGAACCUUACCUACUCUUGACAUCCAGAGAAUUUAGCAGAGAUGCUUUAGUGCCUUCGGGAACUCUGAGACAGGUGCUGCAUGGCUGUCGUCAGCUCGUGUUGUGAAAUGUUGGGUUAAGUCCCGCAACGAGCGCAACCCUUAUCCUUUGUUGCCAGCACAUUAUGGUGGGAACUCAAAGGAGACUGCCGGUGAUAAACCGGAGGAAGGUGGGGAUGACGUCAAGUCAUCAUGGCCCUUACGAGUAGGGCUACACACGUGCUACAAUGGCGUAUACAAAGAGAAGCGACCUCGCGAGAGCAAGCGGAACUCAUAAAGUACGUCGUAGUCCGGAUUGGAGUCUGCAACUCGACUCCAUGAAGUCGGAAUCGCUAGUAAUCGUAGAUCAGAAUGCUACGGUGAAUACGUUCCCGGGCCUUGUACACACCGCCCGUCACACCAUGGGAGUGGGUUGCAAAAGAAGUAGGUAGCUUAACCUUCGGGAGGGCGCUUACCACUUUGUGAUUCAUGACUGGGGUGAAGUCGUAACAAGGUAACCA
rnacentral:rRNA from 1 species